rnacentral:ncRNA from 1 species
GGGUGUUACUACUUAAUAGGGAAAAUGGUGAAAAUCCACUACAGCCCCCGCUACUGUAAGUGUGGACGAGCUCAUAGGGACCACUGUCUUUUAGAUGGGAAGGAUGAGUAGAGAAUGAAGCACGAGUCAGAAGACCUGCCUUAAAAA